rnacentral:rRNA from 1 species
UAAGGAAUAUUGGUCAAUGGACGCAAGUCUGAACCAGCCAUGCCGCGUGGAGGAUUAAGGCCCUCUGGGUUGUAAACUCCUUUUAUCUGGGAAGAAAUGUACUUUUUCUUGAGUACUUGACGGUACCAGAGGAAUAAGCACCGGCUAACUCCGUGCCAGCAGCCGCGGUAAUACGGAGGGUGCAAGCGUUAUCCGGAUUCACUGGGUUUAAAGGGUGCGUAGGUGGGCAGGUAAGUCAGUGGUGAAAUCUCCGGGCUUAACCCGGAAACUGCCGUUGAUACUAUUUGUCUUGAAUAUUGUGGAGGUCAGCGGAAUAUGUCAUGUAGCGGUGAAAUGCUUAGAUAUGACAUAGAACACCAAUUGCGAAGGCAGCUUACUACACAAUCAUUGACGCUGAGGCACGAAAGCGUGGGGAUCAAACA